rnacentral:misc_RNA from 1 species
GGAAGGAUCAUUAGCGUUGAUUGGUCUUGGUGCCAUGCGAAAAACAUGUGGAUUGUGGGCUAUGUGACCCCUCUGUGGGGGGUAUUUUGUCGCGAACUUGGAUCAUUGGCUGAUGGAUAUAUAUAUACAUAAACAAAAUACAACUUUUAGCAAUGGAUAUCUUGGUUCCCGCAACGAUGAAGAACGCAGCGAAAUGCGAUACGUAAUGCGAAUUGCAGAAUUCAGUGAAUCAUCGAAUCUUUGAACGCAAGUUGCGCUUUCGAGAGCCCUCGGAAGCAUGCCUCUCUGAGUAUCGGUUUCUAUCUAUCUCACACGCGGUGGGGAGAAUGGGAGUUGCGGCUCGUCCGCAUCUCCUCAAGUCAGCACACACUGUCGGCCGAAGUCCAUCGGGUUCUUGGAACGAUAAUCCGUCAUGGCGCCAGAAAACCAUACACACACAAGAUCUCAGAUGAGGUAAGACUACCCGCCGAAUUUAAGCAUAUUAUUAAGCGGAGGAAAAGAAACUAACUAGGAUUCCCUCAGUAACGGCGAGUGAAGCGGGAAGAGCUCAAACCGAAAAUCUCUGUCCGCUUGCCGGGCAGCGAAUUGUGGUCUAUGGAGGCGUGUUCAGCGUGCGGCCCCGGCCGAAGUCCGUUGGAAGACGGCGCCAGGGAGGGUGAUAGCCCCGUUCUUGGCUGGAUGUCCGCCGCGUACGAACCGCUCUCUAAGAGUCGGCUUGCUUGGGAGUGCAGGCCUAAGUGGGUGGUAAAUUUCAUCCAAAGCUAAAUACAUGCGGGAGACCGAUAGCGAACAAGUACCGUGAGGGAAAGAUGAAAAGAACUUUGAAAAGAGAGUCAAAAGUACUUGAAAUUGCUGGGAUCGAAGGGAUGGCAUCUAGUAUUGGCCUGGAGAUUUUAGGGCAAGCGUCUCGGUUCGAUCGGGUCGCAAUUGGCUUUGCUGUCUUUGCGGCGCGGUCAGUGGUCGGGACGCGAACCCGUCCUGUCUCCGGGCCUAGGUCAGGAUGGAUUUGCGGUGGUCGAGAAUGGCCUCGGGAAGGUGCCUGUCUCCUCACGGGGGCAGAACUUACAGACCGGGGCAGAUGGAUUGCCGGAGAUUGAGGUGCGAAAACCCACAUCCCCAUCGGGGGGGUUGGGGGCCCCGUGCAAUGGUCCGCCGAUGCCGGCGAGUUGCAAUGCCUCGCGUCGGUGUUCGGCUGCCAGCGUGCGGUCGGCUUACUUGUGUGGUUUGGGAUCCUGACGAAAUGGUUGUCAUUCACCCGUCUUGAAACACGGACCAAGGAGUCUUACAUAUAUGCGAGUGAUCGGGUGGGAAACUCGUUCGCGGAAUGAAGGUGAAUUUGGGGAUCGAAGGCGGGCGCAAGCCCGUCUGCAGAUCCGGGCGGCUAAGAUAUCGGUACGACCCAGAGCAUAUCUGUAGGGACCCGAAAGAUGGUGAACUAUGCUUGAGCAGGAUGAAGCCAGGGGAAACUCUGGUGGAAGUCCGAAGCGAUACUGACGUGCAAAUCGUUCGUCUGACUUGAGUAUAGGGGCGAAAGACUAAUCGAACCAUCUAGUAGCUGGUUCCCUC